UACGAAGGGGACUAGCGUUGUUCGGAAUCACUGGGCGUAAAGCGCACGUAGGCGGAUAUGUCAGUCAGGGGUGAAAUCCCGGGGCUCAACCUCGGAACUGCCUUUGAUACAGCAUGUCUUGAGUCCGAUAGAGGUGGGUGGAAUUCCUAGUGUAGAGGUGAAAUUCGUAGAUAUCGGGAGGAACACCAGUGGCGAAGGCGGCGAUCUGGGUCGAUACUGACGCUGAGGUGCGAAAGCGUGGGGAGCAAACAGG
rnacentral:rRNA from 1 species